rnacentral:rRNA from 1 species
AUUGAACGCUGGCGGCAGGCCUAACACAUGCAAGUCGAACGAGUGGCGGACGGGUGAGUAAUGUCUGGGAAACGGCCCGCUGGAGGGGGAUAACUGCUGGAAACGGUAGCUAAUACCGCAUACCAUCGGAUGAGCCCAGAUGGGAUUAGCUGGUGGGUGGGGAAACGGCUCACCUAGGCGACGAUCCCUAGCUGGUCGGAGAGGAUGACCAACCCCACUGGACCUGAGACACGGUCCAGACUCCUACAUGACUCAACGUUGCAAAAUGUUGCACAAUGGGCGCAAGCCUGAUACGGCAAUGCCGCGUGUAUGAAGAAGUCCUUCGGGUUAUAAAGUCCUUUCAGCGAGGAGGCGUUACUCGCAGAAUAAGCACCGGCGAACUCCGUGCCAGCAGCCGCGGUAAUUC